rnacentral:rRNA from 1 species
UACGGAGGGGGCUAGCGUUGUUCGGAAUUACUGGGCGUAAAGCGCACGUAGGCGGCUUUGUAAGUUAGAGGUGAAAGCCCGGGCUCAACCCCGGAAUUGCCUUUAAGACUGCAUCGCUUGAACGUCGGAGAGGUGAGUGGAAUUCCGAGUGUAGAGGUGAAAUUCGUAGAUAUUCGGAAGAACACCAGUGGCGAAGGCGGCUCCACUGGACGAACACGUGACGCUGAGGCGCGAAGCUAGGGGAGCAAACAGG